rnacentral:rRNA from 1 species
UACGUAGGGGGGCAAGCGUUGUCCGGAUUUAUUGGGCGUAAAGAGCGUGUAGGCGGCCAGACAGGUCCGUUGUGAAAAACUCGAGGCUCAACCUCGAGACGCCGAUGGAAACCGUCUGGCUAGAGUCCGGAAGAGGAGAGUGGAAUUCCCGGUGUAGCGGUGAAAUGCGCAGAUAUCGGGAAGAACACCCGUGGCUAAGGCGGCUCUCUAGUACGGUACUGACGCUGAGACGCGAAAGCGUGGGGAGCGAACGAGG